rnacentral:lncRNA from 1 species
UAAAGCUGAACUUUAAAUAUGAUAGUUAUUAAGGCUUGUCCAGGCUUGAGAUUUAGCUCAUAUAAAUUCUGACAGGAACAAAUGACUCUAAAUUGUGACCAAACCUUUCUUUUUCCCCAUUCCCUUGCCCUUCCAGGUCUGCAGUUUGAAGAGGAAACGGUGAAUAAGAAUAGCACAAGAAGAUAAACAGCUACUUGGAAACAAAGUUUUCCAGCUCCCUUCCUAAUGCAAAACUUUAUAGCAAUGUGCUGUGCUGCAGUUGAAGGCAAUGUGGCUGUGACAGGUGUCUCCAGAUGUUUAUGAAGAACCAGCGCAAAGGAGAUGAUCUAUUUGACAGGCAGAACGCAUGGAAAGAAAAAAACAUGGGGUUCAGGGGAGAAAAUCUACAGCAGAAGCCAGCAAGGUGAGAAUUGGGGCUGUUUAUGAAGAAGAGCACAACUUUGUGCCUCCUCACAGAACAGAGUAACACUAGUAAUUUGGAAAAAGGACUUGCAAAGAAUUUCCAGAGCACUGAGGCCUGGUUAAUUGUCUUUUAAGAUGCACCCAGUUCUCAGUUGCAUGGUACACUUGUCAAAUUUAUUAAAAUGACACAUCUAUUUGUAACCCUCUGAUAAGAACCUGAUUAAAUUUUUUGCCUGACUCGUUGGAGAUCCCAGUGAUGUCCCUUCUAAUAAAUGUCGAUGGCAUUUGUCA